UACGUAGGGGGCUAGCGUUGUCCGGAAUCAUUGGGCGUAAAGAGCGCGUAGGCGGCCAGAUAAGUCCGGUGUGAAAGUCACAGGCUCAACCUGUGAAUGCCGCUGGAAACUGUCUGGCUAGAGUCCGGGAGGGGCGAGUGGAAUUCCUGGUGUAGCGGUGAAAUGCGCAGAUAUCAGGAGGAACACCAGUGGCGAAGGCGGCUCACUGGCCCGGUACUGACGCUGAGGUGCGAAAGCGUGGGGAGCAAACAGG
rnacentral:rRNA from 1 species